rnacentral:rRNA from 1 species
GAGGGCGACCGGCCACACUGGAACUGAGACACGGUCCAGACUCCUACGGGAGGCAGCAGUGGGGAAUCUUCCGCAAUGGGCGCAAGCCUGACGGAGCAACGCCGCGUGAGCGAAGAAGGCUUUCGGGUUGUAAAGCUCUGUCCCGGGGGAAGAACAAAUGACGGUACCCCGGGAGGAAGCCCCGGCUAACUACGUGCCAGCAGCCGCGGUAAAACGUAGGGGGCGAGCGUUGUCCGGAAUUACUGGGCGUAAAGGGCGUGUAGGCGGUUGCGCAAGUCAGUAGUGAAACCCGCCGGCUUAACCGGCGGCUGGCUACUGAAACUGCGCGACUUGAGUGCAGUAGAGGGGAGUGGAAUUCCCAGUGUAGCGGUGAAAUGCGUAGAUAUUGGGAGGAACACCAGUGGCGAAAGCGGCUCCCUGGCCUGUAACUGACGCUGAGGCGCGAAAGCGUGGGUAGCAAACAGGAUUAGAUACCCUGGUAGUCCACGCCGUAAACGAUGGGUGCUAGGUGUUGCGGGUAUCGACCCCCGCAGUGCCGCAGUUAACGCAAUAAGCACCCCGCCUGGGGAGUACGGCCGCAAGGCUGAAACUCAAAGGAAUUGACGGGGGCCCGCACAAGCGGUGGAGCAUGUGGUUUAAUUCGACGCAACGCGAAGAACCUUACCAGGUCUUGACAUCCCCUGCCAGUCGUAGAAAUACGACCUUCUCCUUUGUGGAGACAGGGAGACAGGUGGUGCAUGGUUGUCGUCAGCUCGUGUCGUGAGAUGUUGGGUUAAGUCCCGCAACGAGCGCAACCCCUACCUUUAGUUGCCAGCAAGUAAAGUUGGGCACUCUGGAGGGACUGCCGUUGACAAAACGGAGGAAGG